CACAUUCACCCAUGCACCGACAGAAACUUUAAUUGUUGCAGAUAAUAUAUUAAUGUGGAACUUUGAAUCUUUGCGGUUGUUUCAGUGGUUGUUCCUGGGUACCUUUGACAUUUAUCCAUAAAUAAGUUAAUGACUUUGGUCAUGAAACAAUUUUUUGUUUAGUUUAGGAGAAUGGGGUUGGUUCAAUGAAAUUUGUAUUCAUGAGCUAUAGACCCAGAUUUAUGAAUCGUAUCUGUUGUCUUGAUAUGUAUGGGUGUGUGAUGGAGAUGUAAACAGAUAGAAUGGAUGAGAGGGUUGAAAUGGAAUCAACCCCAUGGUUGGGGACUGAAUGGAGGUAAAAUGUUGGAUCUGGUAUAAAUUGGAUAGUUGCGCAGCCCAAUGUGGUUCUCUCUUUGGUUUUUCUGAGAGAGCAUAUCUGUUGUGAGUGUGCUGUACUGACUGCUUUAAUUUUUUAUGACCCUUAACGAUGGAGAUUGAACUACAUUGUUGUGGGGUGAAAUGUUAUCUGAAAGUAAUGGAAAGAAAAUUUUCUGCAUCGUGAUUCUUUUAAUUGUAUGAUAAUGUUUCUAGUGUUUUAGAUUACAUUGAUCUGUAUUAUUUUAAAGUAUAUAUAAAGAUUAGUUUAUAGGUGUAUGCACUUAAUAUUGGAUAUAUGGUAUUUUUCAGGUUAUUUGACAUACAAUUGCAUAUAAUCUCAAUUUUCUCAUGCAAUUUUUGUCUGAGCUUUGGAAUCAUUGAAAAUUUUGCCUAAAUAAUUAAUUGAUUGAAAUGGCUAUUAGUAAUGAAUGGGGUGUUUACUGUGUUUUUUUGGUGUGUACAGAGCCAACGGUAUGUUGUUAACGAAGGUAAAAACAAGAUGCAGUUUGCUGCAUAUAGAAAACGGAGGGAUCUUAUUGAAAAGCAAGGAAGAAGAAUUGAAUUAUUUUAUUGCAGAGCUCAGGAUAAACUAUGCUUCGUUCAACAACAACAAAGCCUUUUCCCACU